CGGAGGGACACGGAGGGACACAGAGGGACAUGGGGGACACGGAGGGUGCGUGCUGCCCUCUCCCGUACAGGUAGGGCUCCCCGGGACACGGGGACACGGAGGGACACGGAGGGACAUGGGGGACACGGAGGGACAUGGGGGACACGGACGGUGCAUGCUGCCCUCUCCCGUACAGGUAGGGCUCCCCGGGACACAGGGACACGGAGGGACAUGGGGGACACGGAGGGACAUGGGGGACACGGAGGGCGCGUGCUGCCCUCUCCCGUACAGGUAGGGCUCCCCGGGACACGGGGACACGGAGGGACACGGGGACACGGAGGGACAUGGGGGACACGGACGGUGCAUGCUGCCCUCUCCCGUACAGGUAGGGCUCCCCGGGACACGGGGACACGGAGGGACACGGGGACACGGAGGGACAUGGGGGACACGGACGGUGCAUGCUGCCCUCUCCCGUACAGGUAGGGCUCCCCGGGACACGGGGACACGGAGGGACACGGGGACACGGAGGGACAUGGGGGACACGGACGGUGCAUGCUGCCCUCUCCCGUACAGGUAGGGCUCCCCGGGACACGGGGACACGGAGGGACACGGGGACACGGAGGGACAUGGGGGACACGGACGGUGCAUGCUGCCCUCUCCCGUACAGGUAGGGCUCCCCGGGACACAGGGACACGGAGGGACAUGGGGGACACGGAGGGACAUGGGGGACACGGAGGGCGCGUGCUGCCCUCUCUGGGGGCUCUGGCCUUCCUUUGCUUGUGGUCUCAGGAAAGCACACCCCGGGCAGAUGUCCGCCUGCUGCCCAUGGGGCCCAGGGCAGGAAUGGCCCAGCUGCUUAUGGCCUUAUUCUUUUGUGUGCAGGACAUUAAAUUGCCUCCAAUUAGGUCCUUCAACCUCUUUGGUGCUUGGAUUUCCUGAUCUGGUGGGGUCUGUCGGCUUCUCUUCAGUGCGAUAUAUUUAAAUGGAUAAAAAUAUGUUAGUUCCCAAAGAAUUGUAUUAUGUCUAUUACGUCAAGAUACCGUUGUUGAAAUAUUUUCAAAAAAUACAUUAGUGAUGUGGAAAUGUUAUUUCUUUACUAAUGGACCAAAUAAAAUCUGGUAUAAUGGGCACCUUUAAAGAAA